GACGAACGCUGGCGGCGUGCCUAACACAUGCAAGUCGAACGGAAAGGCCCUGCUUUUGUGGGGUGCUCGAGUGGCGAACGGGUGAGUAACACGUGAGUAACCUGCCCUUGACUUUGGGAUAACUUCAGGAAACUGGGGCUAAUACCGGAUAGGAGCUCCUGCUGCAUGGUGGGGGUUGGAAAGUUUCGGCGGUUGGGGAUGGACUCGCGGCUUAUCAGCUUGUUUGUGGGGUAGUGGAUUACCAAGGCUUUGACGGGUAGCCGGCCUGAGAGGGUGACCGGCCACAUUGGGACUGAGAUACGGCCCAGACUCCUAAGGGAGGCAGCAGGGGGGAAUAUUGCAGAAUGGGCGGAAGCCUGAUGCAGCAACGCCGCGUGCGGUAUGACGGCCUUCGGGUUGUAAACCGCUUUCGCCUGUGACGAAGCGUGAGUGACGGUAAUGGGUAAAGAAGCACCGGCUAACUACGUG
rnacentral:rRNA from 1 species